ACCCUCUUGGUGUAUCGGUUAACAUAGCGGAUUCUCAUUCCGUUGCGCCGGGUUCGAUUCCCGGAGAGGGUA